CUAAUAUAUAAUUAAAACCUUGCAUUGAUGUGCAUGUCUGUGGAUGUUUUUCUACUCAAAUGUUUUGAAGACCUGCUUGCUUUGAAUGAUCUAUGCAGAAACUCAGUAUUUGAUGGAUUUACCUCAAAAGUCUUAAACAGAUCAAGACAUGCAGUGAUGCCUACAGACUAAUCCUGAAAGGAAUCAGUGGUCAAAGCAUGGCUCUACUCAGACUUCCUGAAUCUGUUCCAGAACAUAUAAAGACACAAAGACAGUGUGGCCUUAACUCUAAUGUCAAUGCUUUGGUUUAUAGAUAAGGUCUUUGGAAACUAAUGAACUUCUCUUCAGUGGAUGGAGUACAGGACUGAGGUAAAACACCUCGUCAUAUCCACUUCAGACACUCCUAUAUGCCUUUACUUCCUGGAUGACUCCUAUGAACCAGUGGAUUCUAAUCAAGCUGGGAAAGAUUUGACGAACAAUCAAGAGAUGCACCAAAACAGGAUUCACAUGAGCUCAAUUUUUAGUGCUGAUGCAAAGGUUGUACAUACUCGCCUGUGAACAAAUAAAUUCAUCCAUUUUGGAAUAAAGCUG
ensembl:lncRNA